UACGAAGGGGGCUAGCGUUGCUCGGAAUCACUGGGCGUAAAGGGUGCGUAGGCGGGUCUUUAAGUCAGGGGUGAAAUCCUGGAGCUCAACUCCAGAACUGCCUUUGAUACUGGGGAUCUUGAGUUCGAGAGAGGUGAGUGGAACUGCGAGUGUAGAGGUGAAAUUCGUAGAUAUUCGCAAGAACACCAGUGGCGAAGGCGGCUCACUGGCUCGAUACUGACGCUGAGGUGCGAAAGCGUGGGAAGCAAACAGG
rnacentral:rRNA from 1 species